rnacentral:rRNA from 1 species
CCUACGGGAGGCAGCAGUAGGGAAUCUUUCACAAUGGGCGAAAGCCUGAUGGAGCAACGCCGCGUGCAGGAUGAAGGCCUUCGGGUUGUAAACUGCUUUUAUAAGCGAGAAAUAUGAUGGUAACUUAUGAAUAAGGAUCGGCUAACUACGUGCCAGCAGCCGCGGUCAUACGUAGGAUCCGAGCAUUAUCCGGAGUGACUGGGUGUAAAGAGUUGCGUAGGUGGCAUAAUAAGUAGCUAGUGAAAUCUGGUGGCUCAACCAUUCAGACUAUUAGCUAAACUGUUAAGCUCGAGACCGUUAGGGGUAACUGGAAUUUCUAGUGUAGGAGUGAAAUCCGUAGAUAUUAGAAGGAACACCAAUAGCGUAGGCAGGUUGCUGGGACGGUUCAGACACUAAGGCACGAAAGCGUAGGGAGCAAACGGGAUUAGAUACCCCUGUAGUC